rnacentral:rRNA from 1 species
UUUCAGGCUAUUGUUGUUUUUUUGCAAUUUAGGGUAACAUUGUAGCUUGCUACAGAUGACGACCGGCGCACGGGUGCGUAACGCGUAUGAAACCUACCUAAUACAGAGGGAUAGCCCAGAGAAAUUUGGAUUAAUACCUCAUGGUACUGUGGUCUCGCAUGGGAUUAUAGUUAAAGAUUUAUCGGUAUUAGAUGGUCAUGCGUUCUAUUAGUUAGUUGGUAAGGUAACGGCUUACCAAGGCAGCGAUAGAUAGGGGCCCUGAGAGGGGGAUCCCCCACACUGGUACUGAGACACGGACCAGACUCCUACGGGAGGCAGCAGUGAGGAAUAUUGGACAAUGGAGGCAACUCUGAUCCAGCCAUGCCGCGUGAAGGAAGACUGCCCUAUGGGUUGUAAACUUCUUUUAUAGAGGAAGAAACGCAGAUACGUGUAUUUGUUUGACGGUACUCUACGAAUAAGGAUCGGCUAACUCCGUGCCAGCAGCCGCGGUAAUACGGAGGAUCCAAGCGUUAUCCGGAAUCAUUGGGUUUAAAGGGUCCGCAGGCGGUUGUUUAAGUCAGAGGUGAAAGUUUGCAGCUCAACUGUAAAAUUGCCUUUGAUACUGAAUGACUUGAGUUAUAAUGAAGUGGUUAGAAUAUGUAGUGUAGCGGUGAAAUGCAUAGA